GAUGAACGCUAGCUACAGGCUUAACACAUGCAAGUCGAGGGGAAACGACAUCGAAAGCUUGCUUUUGAUGGGCGUCGACCGGCGCACGGGUGAGUAACGCGUAUCCAACCUGCCCAUCACUUGGGAAUAACCUUGCGAAAGUAAGACUAAUACCCAAUGAUAUCCCACGAAGGCAUCGGAAUGGGAUUAAAGAUUUAUCGGUGAUGGAUGGGGAUGCGUCUGAUUAGCUUGUUGGCGGGGUAACGGCCCACCAAGGCAACGAUCAGUAGGGGUUCUGAGAGGAAGGUCCCCCACAUUGGAACUGAGACACGGUCCAAACUCCUACGGGAGGCAGCGGUGAGGAAUAUUGGUCAAUGGGCGAGAGCCUGAACCAGCCAAGUAGCGUGCAGGAAGACGGCCCUAUGGGUUGUAAACUGCUUUUAUAAGGGAAUAAAGUGGGUCACGUGUGACUUUUUGCAUGUACCUUAUGAAUAAGGACCGGCUAAUUCCGUG
rnacentral:rRNA from 1 species